rnacentral:rRNA from 1 species
UACGUAGGGCGCAAGCGUUGUCCGGAAUUAUUGGGCGUAAAGAGCUCGUAGGCGGUCUGUUGCGUCCGCUGUGAAAACUCGGGGCUUAACCCCGAGCCUGCAGUGGAUACGGGCAGACUAGAGGUAGGUGGGGGAGAAUGGAAUUCCCGGUGUAGCGGUGAAAUGCGCAGAUAUCGGGAGGAACACCGGUGGCGAAGGCGGUUCUCUGGGCCUUACCUGACGCUGAGGAGCGAAAGCGUGGGGAGCGAACAGG